CUUGGGGGAAUGUAUAGCAAUUGCUAUUUGCACUAAUGUUAUUAGUGUAAAAUUAACUACGUUGAAUAAAAUUCUGGAUAGAAUUAUGAUAAUGACAUUAUCUGUUCAUAAGUCUUGACCAAAUUACGUGCCAGCAGUCGCGGUAAUACGUAGAAGACAAGUGUUAUUCAUCUUUAAUAGGUUUAAAGCGUACUUAGACAGUAAAUAAAGCCUCCAAAAGGGACUAGUUUUCUAGAGUUUUAUAUGAAGGGGUUUUAAAGUACUACUGGUGUAGAGAUGAAAUUCCGUUAUACCUUAAAUGGCACAGGUUAAGGCGAAAGCAUCCUCUUAUGUAAAAACUGACGUUGAAGGACGAAGGCUUUGUGUCUCGAACAGGAUUAGAUACCCUAGUAGUCUAAGCAGAAAAUGAUGAAUGUCAUAGAUUAGAUUUAAUUUGAUCUAUAAAUGAAAGUGUAAGCAUUCCACCUCAAGAGUAAUUUGGCAACAUUGGAACUGAAAUCAUUAGACCGUUUCUGAAACCAGUAGUGAUGUAUGUUGUUUAAUUUGAUAACCCGCAAAAAACCUUACCACGAUUUGAAUAGAUAUAUUUUAUCAUACAAGCGUUGCACGGCUGUCUUCAGUUAAUGUCGUAAGACUUUGGUUAGUUCCUUUAAAUUAACGUAAACCCUUACUUUAUUUUUAUAUAAAGUAGUUCACCGCUAUAUUGGAUGUGAUAAUAGGGAUCAAGACAAGUCAUC
rnacentral:rRNA from 1 species